GGGACAACCAAGCUGACCUGCGAUCGACAGAAGGUCGCUAUGUGUCCUCUGAAACACUACCGGCUGUGAACUUGGGAAGUGAUGAUCCUUCCUCUCAAGGACGCACAGAACAGAGUAGUGUAAACCAGCCGUCUCAGAGCAUGUUGACUCCGACUGAUUCGAAUAUGAUGGUUGUUAGGGAACAAACGCCGUCGGAAGCGCUUGCAAUAGUCCCGAUCCAGUUUUUUGUGCCGGCAUCCCAACAAACAACCACUGACGCAGAUUUCGAACCAACCCCUAUGCUACAGAUUGAAGGGGCUAGAGAAAC